rnacentral:rRNA from 1 species
UUGAAGAGAGAGUUCAAGAGUACGUGAAACUGCUCAGAGGCAAACGGGUGGGCCCUCGAAAUCCUUCGCGCGGGGUGAUUCAGUCGGGAGGCGCGGCGGCGGCGAUGCGUGCGGACCCCGAGAGGGUCGCACGCGCGCCGCGGUCCCCGCGACGCCCGACGCACUUCUCCCCGCGCCUCGGACGCCGCAGCCGGUCGGGUAACUGCGAGAGUCGGCCGUGAGCGCGGGCACCGGCAGCUUCCCGGCAGGAGGUCUUCGGGCCUCCCGUCGGUGUUCAUCCAGCCCGCGCGUGGCGCGACACCCGACCGAGGUCAAAGUUCCCGUGCGGGAACUCGCCGCCCCCUUCCCAGCGGUCCCGGCACUAGCAGGUCUGUUCGCCGUCGCUUCUCCACUCUCRAAGUGGCCGGCGCGGCGCGUASUCCGGUGGUGGCCGUGGAACGAUCCGCGGUGGGAGCGACGCGGCUCGCGGCGAGUAGGUCGGUCACCCACCCGACCCGUCUUGAAACACGGACCAAGGAGUCUAACAUGUGCGCGAGUCGCAGGGUCUUGCACAGGCCUGCGGGCGCAAUGAAAGUGGAAGUCGGCUCGUUCGACAGUGUCGGGACUCUCCGCGCUUCGGCGACGGGGAAGCACCGACGGCCCGUCCCACCUGGCUUCGCCAGCGGGACGGAGUCGGAGCGCACACGUUCGGACCCGAAAGAUGGUGAACUAUGCCUGGGCAGGACGAAGCCAGAGGAAACUCUGGUGGAGGUCCGCAGCGGUUCUGACGUU